rnacentral:rRNA from 1 species
GACGAACGCUGGCGGCGUGCUUAACACAUGCAAGUCGAACGGAAAGGCCCUGCUUUUGUGGGGUGCUCGAGUGGCGAACGGGUGAGUAACACGUGAGUAACCUGCCCUUGACUUUGGGAUAACUUCAGGAAACUGGGGCUAAUACCGGAUAGGAGCUCCUGCUGCACGGUGGGGGUUGGUAAGUUUCGGCGGUUGGGGAUGGACUCGCGGCUUAUCAGCUUGUUGGUGGGGUAGUGGCUUACCAAGGCUUUGACGGGUAGCCGGCCUGAGAGGGUGACCGGCCACAUUGGGACGGAGAUACGGCCCAGACUCCUACGGGAGGCAGCGGUGGGGAAUAUUGCACAAUGGGCGGAAGCCUGAUGCAGCAACGCCGCGUGCGGGAUGACGGCCUUCGGGUUGUAAACCGCUUUCGCCUGUGACGAAGCGUGAGUGACGGUAAUGGGUAAAGAAGCACCGGCUAACUACGUG